rnacentral:lncRNA from 1 species
UGCACACUGUUAUUAUUUUUCAAAGAAGUCAGUGAAAAUUAAAAUCUUUUCAGAACUUUUAGAGAAUAUUUUGUUUUAUUUGCUUCAUAAUGCAAACUGGUGGGUAAACAACCUUCCCUAAUGUCCUCUAUAAUGGCUUUGGAACCCCAAAUGUGAAUGAACUUUUGAAAAUGUUUCAACAGUGGAAGAUUGGAGUUUUUUUCAUUUAUUAGGAGAUAGAUAGAUAGAUAUAGAUAGAUAGAUAGAUAGAUAGAUAGAUAGAUAGAUAGAUAGAUGAUAGAUAGAAAGAAAGAAAGAAAGAAAAUAGAGAGAGAGUCUCAGGAAACUGAUAUGAAAUAGUGUAUAUAAAUUAUUUUAUGUGCAUGGCAAUUAUAGGCAGUUAUUUGAUAGCAAUUGUAACUAUAUUUUUAUUUUACAAAACAUUAAUACACGAUGCUUUCUGAUAACUUCUUUGUUAGGGUCAAAUGUAAUCCUUUUGAAUUGCUGAAGUGUUGUCUCCAAACUUGUUACACAAAGACAGCUAGCAGAGCACAUAUGGCUAUAGCGCUCUCUUCAACCCACACAGAGAAUGUGAUAUGGUUUGGCUCUGUGUGUCCCCACCCAAAUCUCAUUUGAAUUGUACUCCCACAUGUUGUGGGAGGGACCCAGAGGGAGAUAAUUUGAAUCAUGGGGGCGGUUCCCCCCAUACUGUUCUCCUGGUAGUGAACUAGUCUCACGAGUUCUAAUGGCUUUUUCAAGGGUUUCUGCUUUUGCAUCUUCUCUAAUUUUCUCUUGCCGCUGCCAUGUAAGAAGUGCCUUUCACCUCCUGCUAUGGUUCUGAGGUCUUCCUGGCCAUGUGGAAUUGUUUUUGUAGACACAGAUUUUCAACUACUUCGGGGAAACAGCAAAGAUCACACGAUUCCCUCCAGCAAAGAAGGAAAGUUCUCGUUGCUCCAUAUCUCCCCAGCAUCUGGUGUUGUAAAUGUUCUGGAUUUUGGCAAUGCUAACAGGGUCUUACUGUUACCCAGGAUGAAGUUCUGUGGCGCGAUCACAGCUCCUUGAAACCUCAACCUCUCCAAGCUCGGGUGAUUUCUCCCACCUCAGCCUCCAAGGUAGCUGGGACUACAGGCAUGCACCGCUAUACCCAGCUAGUUUUUUUGUGUGUGUGUUUUGGAGAGACAGCGUUUCAUCAUGUUGCCCAGGCUGGUCUCAAGCUCCUGGCCUCAAGCAAUCCACCCACCUGGACCUCCCAAAGUGCUGGGAUAACAGGCAUGAGCCACCAUGCCCAGCAAGGUAAUGAUUAAACUAAAAGUAAUUGAAAUAUUGGCAUCUUGAGUCAUAUAUGUGUUUAUCAGUUUUGUCUAUUAUAAGAGGACAAAUAAGACAGAAAGUUGGUAGUCAAGUCAGUCAAAAUAAGUCAGUGUCUAAUUUGAGAUUAAGAGCAGUAUAAUGCAUGAGAAAAAACAAACACACUUCAC